GGACGGAGUGUCAACUGCGUCAAUGUCGACGACUAUCGGAGAUGGCGUAAUGUCAACUGAGUCGAUGUCGACAGCUAUGGGAGGGGGCGGAGUGUCAACUGCGUCCAUGUCGAC